rnacentral:tRNA from 1 species
AGGACUUUAGCUUAAUGGAAAGUUCUUGAGUUGCAUUCAAGAGAUGUGGGGUAAGACCCGCAAGUCCUA